rnacentral:rRNA from 1 species
UACGUAGGCAGCAAGCGUUGUUCGGAGUUACUGGGCGUAAAGGGUGUGUAGGCGGCCUGUUAAGUUUGCUGUGAAAUCUCCCGGCUCAACUGGGAGGGUGCGGUGAAUACUGACGGGCUUGGAGUGCGGGAGAGGAGAGUGGAAUUCCUGGUGUAGCGGUGAAAUGCGUAGAUAUCAGGAGGAACACCGGUGGUGUAGACGGCUCUCUGGACCGUAACUGACGCUGAGACACGAAAGCGUGGGGAGCAAACAGG